rnacentral:rRNA from 1 species
GCGUCUAAUACUGGAUAUGUCCCAUCACCGCAUGGUGUGUGGGUGGAAAGAUUUUUCGGUUGGGGAUGGGCUCGCGGCCUAUCAGCUUGUUGGUGAGGUAAUGGCUCACCAAGGCGUCGACGGGUAGCCGGCCUGAGAGGGUGACCGGCCACACUGGGACUGAGACACGGCCCAGACUCCUACGGGAGGCAGCAGUGGGGAAUAUUGCACAAUGGGCGCAAGCCUGAUGCAGCAACGCCGCGUGAGGGAUGACGGCCUUCGGGUUGUAAACCUCUUUUAGCAGGGAAGAAGCGAGAGUGACGGUACCUGCAGAAAAAGCACCGGCUAACUACGUGCCAGCAGCCGCGGUAAUACGUAGGGUGCAAGCGUUAUCCGGAAUUAUUGGGCGUAAAGAGCUCGUAGGCGGUUUGUCGCGUCUGCUGUGAAAUUCCGAGGCUCAACCUCGGGCUUGCAGUGGGUACGGGCAGACUAGAGUGCGGUAGGGGAGAUUGGAAUUCCUGGUGUAGCGGUG